UAUUAAAAACUGUAUUGUUAAAAACUGUCGUGGCUGACGGAAUAAUCAGAUAAUGACACAUGAUGUGUCACGUAUACCUCAUAUUGAUGUACAUGGACCAAUUUUUAAUAGACAAAAUGGAUAGAAUUUUUAACA
rfam:Gossypium hirsutum cultivar TM-1 chromosome 4, whole genome shotgun sequence